GAUAGUACCUUACUACUUGGAUACCCGUAGUAAUUCUAGAGCUAAUACAUGCAUCAACGCCCAAUCGGGCCGCGUUUAUUAGAUAGAAACCCAUAUUUUUGGUGAAUCAUAAUAACUGUGCGAAUCGCAUGGGUUUACCCCGGCGAUGAAUCAAUCAAGUUUCUGCCCUAUCAGCUUUCGAUGGUAGGGUAUUGGCCUACCAUGGCGUUAACGGGUAACGGAGAAUUAGGGUUCGAUUCCGGAGAGGGAGCCUGAGAAACGGCUACCACAUCCAAGGAAGGCAGCAGGCGCGUAAAUUACCCAAUCCUGACACAGGGAGGUAGUGACAAUAAAUAACAAUGCCGGGCUUUUUCAAGUCUGGCAAUUGGAAUGAGAACAAUUUAAAUCCCUUAACGAGGAUCAAUUGGAGGGCAAGUCUGGUGCCAGCAGCCGCGGUAAUUCCAGCUCCAAUAGCGUAUAUUAAUGUUGUUGCAGUUAAAAAGCUCGUAGUUGGAUUUCUGGUGGGAGCGGCCGGUCCGCCGCAAGGUGUGUACUUGGUUGUCUCCUGUCAUCCUUGUGGGAACUGCUCUGGCAUUAAGUUGUCGGGGUUGGGGAACACAUCGUUUACUGUGAAAAAAUUAGAGUGUUUAAAGCAGGCUUAUGCCGUUGAAUACAUUAGCAUGGAAUAAUAAGAUAGGACUUUGGCGUCUAUUUUGUUGGUUUGCACACCAAAGUAAUGAUUAAUAGGGAUAGUUGGGGGUAUUCGUAUUUAAUUGUCAGAGGUGAAAUUCUUGGAUUUAUGAAAGACGAACUUCUGCGAAAGCAUUUACCAAAGAUGUUUUCAUUAAUCAAGAACGAAAGUUAGGGGAUCGAAGAUGAUUAGAUACCAUCGUAGUCUUAACCAUAAACUAUGCCGACUAGGGAUUGGCGGUCGUUCAUUUAUGACUCCGUCAGCACCUUAUGAGAAUCAAAGUCUUUGGGUU
rnacentral:rRNA from 1 species